GGUUCCGUGGUGUAGCGGUUAUCACAUCUGCUUUACACGCAGAAGGUCGCCGGUUCGAUUCUGGCCGGAACCA
rnacentral:tRNA from 1 species